rnacentral:rRNA from 1 species
UACAGAGGUCUCAAGCGUUGUUCGGAUUCAUUGGGCGUAAAGGGUGCGUAGGUGGUGAGGUAAGUCGGAUGUGAAAUCUCCGGGCUCAACCCGGAAAUGGCAUUGGAAACUACCUUGCUAGAGGAUUUGAGGGGGGAUUGGAAUACUUGGUGUAGCAGUGAAAUGCGUAGAUAUCAAGUGGAACACCAGUGGCGAAGGUGAAUCCCUGGAAAAUACCUGACACUGAGGCACGAAAGCUAGGGGAGCAAACAGG